rnacentral:rRNA from 1 species
GGCCCAGACUCCUACGGGAGGCAGCAGUGGGGAAUAUUGGGCAAUGGACGCAAGUCUGACCCAGCAACGCCGCGUGAAGGAAGAAGGCUUUCGGGUUGUAAACUUCUUUUAAGGGGGAAGAGCAGAAGACGGUACCCCUUGAAUAAGCCCCGGCUAACUACGUGCCAGCAGCCGCGGUAAUACGUAGGUGGCAAGCGUUGUCCGGAUUUAUUGGGUUUAAAGGGUGCGUAGGCGGGAUGCCAAGUCAGCGGUAAAAAUGCGGUGCUCAACGCCGUCGAGCCGUUGAAACUGGCGUUCUUGAGUGGGCGAGAAGUAUGCGGAAUGCGUGGUGUAGCGGUGAAAUGCAUAGAUAUCACGCAGAACUCCGAUUGCGAAGGCAGCAUACCGGCGCCCUACUGACGCUGAGGCACGAAAGCGUGGGUAUCGAACAGGAUUAGAUACCCCAGUA